AUAUGAUAGUCUGCAGAAAAGAUACAUGGAUUUCGAGCAGCUGAAGAACAAAGACAGCUCAUAGGUUGUCUAGAUGCCUUCAAAAAGAGGAAAAUCCAAAACUGAGAAGCAGCCUCCAUCACAGCACAGCGGUGGUGGCAGCAGUACCAUCUUCUCCUUCAUCCACCGACGAAGAAGAUGAAAGGGUUUUGAGUUUUGGACAUUUGUCGAAGGUGUUGGUUUUAGAGCUAGUCUAUUCUGUUCUACCCCUGCUUCACUGAAUUGCAAUUAAAGCGAAUAUCCCUGGGAGGAUUACCAGCAGAGAGAAAUCUUGAUAUUUUUCUUUUGAGAACUUCCACUGUUGAAGUAAUCUUAAAUUUUGGACCACAGUCAUGUGGUCACCACAGUUGCUGCUGUUCUUCACAAUUCUCUUGGUAUCUACA